AGUGAAGAAGCAGGAAACAUUUGUUUUGGGUACAAAAUGUCACGGGUUCAAAUCCUGUCAUCCCUA
rnacentral:tRNA from 1 species